AUAAAGAUGAUGAGGGAGCCAAGGUGCAUGCGGGAAUCUGCAGAGAGCCGAUGGCUGGUGGAAAUCGGCGAUUCCCUGCACCGGAGCACUCCGGAGUUGACGGGCUGAAAAGGAAGUAGGCCCGUACGCUGAAUGGCGUUAUCCUAUGGUUGGACAAACCGCUGAGGUCACUGGAACGGUUUUUCUUUUUCCGUCAUGCGCGAAAAGCCGGGGCAGUGAUGAAUGAGGGUGGCACCACGAGACCUCUCGUCCCUCAC
rnacentral:ncRNA from 1 species